rnacentral:rRNA from 1 species
UCGAGAAUUUUUCACAAUGGGCGAAAGCCUGAUGGAGCGACGCCGCGUGGGGGAUGAAUGGCUUCGGCCCGUAAACCCCUGUCAUGGGCGAUCAACCCUUUUCCGUGAACAGCGGAAAAGCUGAUAGUAGCUCAAGAGGAAGGGACGGCUAACUCUGUGCCAGCAGCCGCGGUAAUACAGAGGUCCCAAGCGUUGUUCGGAUUCACUGGGCGUAAAGGGUGCGUAGGCGGUCGGGUAAGUCUGAUGUGAAAUCUCGGAGCUCAACUCCGAAACGGCAUCGGAUACUAUCCGGCUCGAGGUGUGGAGGGGGGACUGGAAUUCUCGGUGUAGCAGUGAAAUGCGUAGAUAUCGAGAGGAACACCAGUGGCGAAGGCGAGUCCCUGGACACUACCUGACGCUGAGGCACGAAAGCUAGGGGAGCAAACAGG